GACGUAGGGGACGAGCGUUGUCCGGAUUCAUUGGGCGUAAAGCGCGCGUAGGCGGUUGCGCAAGUCGGUUGUGAAAAUCCGGGGCUCAACCCCGGACCUGCAUCCGAUACUGCGUGACUAGAGGUAGGCAGGGGAGAUCGGAAUUCCUGGUGUAGCGGUGAAAUGCGCAGAUAUCAGGAGGAACACCGGUGGCGAAGGCAGGUCUCUGGGCCGAUACUGACGCUGAGGAGCGAAAGCGUGGGGAGCGAACAGG
rnacentral:rRNA from 1 species